rnacentral:rRNA from 1 species
UAGGGAAUCUUCCACAAUGGACGGAAGUCUGAUGGAGCAACGCCGCGUGAGCGAAGAAGGUCUUCGGAUCGUAAAGCUCUGUUGUAAGGGAAGAAUAAGUACAGUAGUAACUGGCUGUACCUUGACGGUACCUUACGAGAAAGCCACGGCUAACUACGUGCCAGCAGCCGCGGUAAUACGUAGGUGGCAAGCGUUGUCCGGAAUUAUUGGGCGUAAAGCGCGCGCAGGCGGCCUUUUAAGUCUGAUGUGAAAGCCCCCGGCUUAACCGGGGAGGGUCAUUGGAAACUGGGAGGCUUGAGUGCAGAAGAGGAAAGUGGAAUUCCAAGUGUAGCGGUGAAAUGCGUAGAGAUUUGGAGGAACACCAGUGGCGAAGGCGACUUUCUGGUCUGUUACUGACGCU